rnacentral:rRNA from 1 species
GGCGCAUUAGCUAGUUGGUGAGGUAAAGGCUCACCAAGGCCACGAUGCGUAGCCGACCUGAGAGGGUGAUCGGCCACAUUGGAACUGAGACACGGUCCAGACUCCUACGGGAGGCAGCAGUGGGGAAUAUUGCACAAUGGGCGAAAGCCUGAUGCAGCAACGCCGCGUGAGUGAUGAAGGCCUUCGGGUUGUAAAGCUCUGUCUUUUGGGACGAUAAUGACGGUACCAAAGGAGGAAGCCACGGCUAACUACGUGCCAGCAGCCGCGGUAAUACGUAGGUGGCAAGCGUUGUCCGGAUUUACUGGGCGUAAAGGAUGCGUGGGUGGAUAUUUAAGUGAGAUGUGAAAUACCCGAGCUUAACUUGGGUGCUGCAUUUCAAACUGGAUAUCUAGAGUGCAGGAGAGGAGAAUGGAAUUCCUAGUGUAGCGGUGAAAUGCGUAGAGAUUAGGAAGAACACCAGUGGCGAAGGCGAUUCUCUGGACUGUAACUGACACUGAGGCAUGAAAGCGUGGGUAGCA